UGGCAAGUCGAAGCGGAUGAAGAGAGCUUGCUUUCUGAUUCAGCGGCGGACGGGUGAGUAAUGCCUAGGAAUCUGCCUGAUAGUGGGGGACAACGUUUCGAAAGGAACGCUAAUACCGCAUACGUCCUACGGGAGAAAGCAGGGGACCUUCGGGCCUUGCGCUAUCAGAUGAGCCUAGGUCGGAUUAGCUAGUUGGUGAGGUAACGGCUCACCAAGGCGACGAUCCGUAACUGGUCUGAGAGGAUGAUCAGUCACACUGGAACUGAGACACGGUCCAGACUCCUACGGGAGGCAGCAGUGGGGAAUAUUGGACAAUGGGCGAAAGCCUGAUCCAGCCAUGCCGCGUGUGUGAAGAAGGUCUUCGGAUUGUAAAGCACUUUAAGUUGGGAGGAAGGGCAUUAACCUAAUACGUUAGUGUUUUGACGUUACCGACAGAAUAAGCACCGGCUAACUUCGUGCCAGCAGCCGCGGUAAUACGAAGGGUGCAAGCGUUAAUCGGAAUUACUGGGCGUAAAGCGCGCGUAGGUGGUUUGUUAAGUUGAAUGUGAAAGCCCCGGGCUCAACCUGGGAACUGCAUCCAAAACUGGCAAGCUAGAGUAUGGCAGAGGGUGGUGGAAUUUCCUGUGUAGCGGUGAAAUGCGUAGAUAUAGGAAGGAACACCAGUGGCGAAGGCGACCACCUGGGCUAAUACUGACACUGAGGUGCGAAAGCGUGGGGAGCAAACAGGAUUAGAUACCCUGGUAGUCCACGCCGUAACGAUGUCGACUAGCCGUUGGGAUCCUUGAGAUCUUAGUGGCGCAGCUAACGCAUUAAGUCGACCGCCUGGGGAGUACGGCCGCAAGGUUAAAACUCAAAUGAAUUGACGGGGGCCCGCACAAGCGGUGGAGCAUGUGGGUUUAAUUCGAAGCAACGCGAAGAACCUUACCAGGCCUCUGACAUGCAGAGAACUUUCCAGA
rnacentral:rRNA from 1 species